GACGAACGCUGGCGGCGUGCUUAACACAUGCAAGUCGAGCGGUAAGGCCCUUUCGGGGGUACACGAGCGGCGAACGGGUGAGUAACACGUGGGUGACCUGCCCUCAGCUCUGGGAUAAGCCUGGGAAACUGGGUCUAAUACCGGAUAUGACUCCAUGACGCAUGUUGUGGGGUGGAAAGCCUUGUGCGGCUGAGGAUGGGCCCGCGGCCUAUCAGCUUGUUGGUGGGGUGANGGCCUACCAAGGCGACGACGGGUAGCCGGCCUGAGAGGGCGACCGGCCACACUGGGACUGAGACACGGCCCAGACUCCUACGGGAGGCAGCAGUGGGGAAUCUUGCGCAAUGGGCGAAAGCCUGACGCAGCGACGCCGCGUGAGGGAUGACGGCCUGGUGUAA
rnacentral:rRNA from 1 species